GUCAAGAUGGCCGAGUGGUUAAGGCGUUCGCCUCGAAUAAUCUUCGACGGUAGCGAAUGGGUUCGCCCGCGCAGGUUCGAAUCCUGUUCUUGACG